rnacentral:rRNA from 1 species
CGCGUAGGCGGACCUUCAAGUUGGAUGUGAAAACUCCGGGCUUAACUCGGAGCCUGCAUCCAAAACUGUCGGUCUUGAGUAUAGGAGAGGAAAGCGGAAUUCCAGGUGUAGCGGUGAAAUGCGUAGAUAUCUGGAAGAACACCAGUAGCGAAGGCGGCUUUCUGGCCUAAUACUGACGCUAAAGCGCGAAGGCUAGGGUAGCAAACA